UACGUAGGGGGCUAGCGUUGUCCGGAAUCAUUGGGCGUAAAGAGCGCGCAGGCGGUCGUGCAAGUCGCGUGUGAAAGCCCCCGGCUCAACUGGGGAGGGUCACGCGAUACUGCUCGACUUGAAGGCAGGAGAGGGAAGUGGAAUUCCCGGUGUAGUGGUGAAAUGCGUAGAUAUCGGGAGGAACACCAGUGGCGAAGGCGGCUCUCUGGGCCUUACCUGACGCUGAGACGCGAAAGCGUGGGGAGCGAACCGG
rnacentral:rRNA from 1 species